rnacentral:rRNA from 1 species
CAGUAGCCGCGGUAAUACGAAGGGGGCUAGCGUUGUUCGGAAUUACUGGGCGUAAAGCGCACGUAGGCGGACAUUUAAGUCAGGGGUGAAAUCCCGGGGCUCAACCCCGGAACUGCCUUUGAUACUGGGUGUCUAGAGUAUUGAAGAGGUGAGUGGAAUUCCGAGUGUAGAGGUGAAAUUCGUAGAUAUUCGGAGGAACACCAGUGGCGAAGGCGGCUCACUGGUCCAUUACUGACGCUGAGGUGCGAAAGCGUGGGGAGCAAACAGGAUUAGAUACCCCUGUAGUCCCUGUCUCUUAUAC